rnacentral:rRNA from 1 species
UACGGGGGGGGCAAGCGUUGUUCGGAAUUACUGGGCGUAAAGGGCUCGUAGGCGGCCAACUAAGUCAGACGUGAAAUCCCCAGGCUCAACCUGGGAACUGCGUCUGAUACUGGAUGGCUUGAAUCCGGGAGAGGGAUGCAGAAUUCCAGGUGUAGCGGUGAAAUGCGUAAAUAUCUGGAGGAAUACCGGUGGCGAAGGCGGCAUCCUGGACCGGCAUUGACGCUGAGGAGCGAAAGCCAGGGGAGCAAACAGG